rnacentral:rRNA from 1 species
AGUGAACGCUGGCGGUAGGCCUAACACAUGCAAGUCGAACGGCAGCACAGUAAGAGCUUGCUCUUACGGGUGGCGAGUGGCGGACGGGUGAGGAAUACAUCGGAAUCUACUUUUUCGUGGGGGAUAACGUAGGGAAACUUACGCUAAUACCGCAUACGACCUACGGGUGAAAGCAGGGGAUCUUCGGACCUUGCGCGAGUGAAUGAGCCGAUGUCGGAUUAGCUAGUUGGCGGGGUAAAGGCCCACCAAGGCGACGAUCCGUAGCUGGUCUGAGAGGAUGAUCCGCCACACUGGAAGUGAGACACGGUCCAGACUCCUACGGGAGGCAGCAGUGGGGAAUAGUGGACAAUGGGGGCAAGCCUGAUCCAGCCAUACCGCGUGGAUGAAGAAGGCCUUCGGGUUGUAAAGCCCUUUUGUUGGGAAAGAAAAGCAGCAGGUUAAUCCCCCGCUGUUCUGACGGUACCCAAAGAAUAAGCACCGGCUAACUUCGUG